UACAGAGGGUGCAAGCGUUAAUCGGAAUUACUGGGCGUAAAGAGCACGUAGGUGGUUAAUUAAGUUGGAUGUGAAAUCCCCGGGCUUAACCUGGGAGUGUCAUUCAAAACUGGUUGACUAGAGUACGGUAGAGGGAAGUGGAAUUUCCGGUGUAGCGGUGAAAUGCAUAGAUAUCGGAAGGAACAUCAGUGGCGAAGGCGACUUCCUGGACUGAUACUGACACUGAGGUGCGAAAGCGUGGGGAGCAAACAGG
rnacentral:rRNA from 1 species